rnacentral:lncRNA from 1 species
GUGGAGCAACAUCACAUUAUCUCUUUAGCGAAGUAUACAAAAUUCAAUCCUCCAUGACAUGUUUUGACCCAGAACAUCAGAGAGACUGUAGAAUUCUAGUUUUCCCUUAAAAAUAUUAAUCCGGAUCUCAGAAGAAGUGAAAAAUCAUCAAUUUUAUUGUAAAAAAAUUACAAUGUCAUAAAAAAAAGUUCUUUUCGUUAUUCACGGAAAUUACCUUAAAUUAUCUUCUGUCAGUUAGCUGUCUUCUAACAAAAUAAAUUUUGCAUAUAAAAACGUUUUUUAUGCGUUUAAAAUAUAUUUUAAGGGCCACUGGUAUAAUUUUGUUUCAAUGUCUUCAAGACACCAACAUUUUUUUUUCAAGACGUCUUGGAUGAGAGGAUACAAUUUUUGAAGUUUCAAAAAUUUCUCCAAGAUACAUGUCUUAAGACAUAUAUU